GGAAUCUUGCGCAAUGGGCGAAAGCCUGACGCAGCAACGCCGCGUGCGGGAUGAAGGCCUUCGGGCUGUAAACCGCUUUCAGCAGGAACGAAAAUGACGGUACCUGCAGAAGAAGGAGCGGCCAACUACGUGCCAGCAGCCGCGGUGACACGUAGGCUCCAAGCGUUGUCCGGAUUUAUUGGGCGUAAAGAGCUCGUAGGCGGUUGAGUAAGUCGGGUGUGAAAACUCUGGGCUUAACCCGGAGACGCCAUCCGAUACUGCUCUGACUUGAGUUCAGGAGGGGAGUGGGGAAUUCCUAGUGUAGCGGUGAAAUGCGCAGAUAUUAGGAGGAACACCGGUGGCGAAGGCGCCACUCUGGACUGAAACUGACGCUGAGGAGCGAAAGCAUGGGUAGCAAACAGGAUUAGAUACCCUGGUAGUCCAUGCCGUAAACGGUGGGCACUAGGUGUGGGUUCCAACUAACGGGAUCCGCGCCGUCGCUAACGCAUUAAGUGCCCCGCCUGGGGAGUACGGUCGCAAGACUAAAACUCAAAGGAAUUGACGG
rnacentral:rRNA from 1 species